rnacentral:rRNA from 1 species
CCUACGGGAGGCAGCAGUGGGGGAUAUUGCACAAUGGGGGAAACCCUGAUGCAGCGACGCCGCGUGUGGGAAGACGGUCCUCUGGAUUGUAAACUACUGUCCCAAGGAACGAAGAUGACGGUACCUGGGGAGGAAGCUCCGGCUAACUACGUGCCAGCAGCCGCGGUAAUAUGUAGGGAGCGAGCUUUGUCCGGAAUUACUGGGGGUAAAGGGAGCGUAGGCGGGGAUGCAAGUUGGGUGGCAAAACUACCGGCUCAACUGGUAGUCGCACUCAAAACUGCAGCUCUUGAGUGAAGUAGAGGCAGGCGGAAUUCCUAGUGUAGCGGUGAAAUGCGUAGAUAUUAGGAGGAACACCAGUGGCGAAGGCGGCCUUCUGGGCUUUUACUGACGCUGAGGCUCGAAAGUGUGGGGAGCAAACAGGAUUAGAUACCCUUGUAGUC